rnacentral:snoRNA from 1 species
CCACUCGAUGAUGAGGACAUCACAUCCUAUAUCUUGGCCGGCCUCGACGAUGAUUACAAGCCUCUGGUCUCCUCCAUUGUGGGGCGACCGGAGCAGGUAACUUUUUCAGAAUUAUACUCACAACUAUUGGACUUCGAGU